UUGCGGGAACUGCUGGAGCUACA
rnacentral:siRNA from 1 species